rnacentral:rRNA from 1 species
UACGUAGGGGGCAAGCGUUGUCCGGAAUCAUUGGGCGUAAAGAGCGUGUAGGCGGUUCGGUAAGUCGGCUGUGAAAGUCCAGGGCUCAACCCUGGGAUGCCGGUCGAUACUGCCGGACUAGAGUUCGGUAGAGGAGUGUGGAAUUCCUGGUGGAGCGGUGAAAUGCGCAGAGAUCAGGAGGAACACCCGUAGCGAAGGCGGCACUCUGGGCCGAUACUGACACUGAGGAGCGAAAGCGUGGGGAGCGAACAGG